UGUCCAUUUAUUUUUAAGAAAAAAACAAAGAGAGGCAGAGGGGUAGGGAGCUCCCCGCAUUAAGAAAGAGGAAAACACCUUCUCCUUCUAAAAGAGGGAAGAUGGAGACGGAGGGGUAGAGCGAGAAAGGAAGUCCGAGCGAUGGAGAUGGAUCGCAAAUCCUAACCCUAUAAUCCUUGGUGACUCAGAUGGCAUCGUCGCGCGUGAUAGCGUCGUCCUCGUCGGCGAAUUCGGAAUUCUUGCGUCAGUCCUCCCUCAUCUCCCCGGCGAUCGCCGACAUCCAGAGCUCAGCCGGUGUAUACCCUAUCGGGACCCUCGGAUCCGUGAGCAUGGAGGACCUCCUCCGCAACAUCUACCCGGAGAAUGCGGGGCCCUUCGCCCGCGAGGACGGCGCCACCGGCGGAGAGGCACGGGCGUCGGCAUCGCGGCAGGGGAAUUUCCCACUGCCGAAGGAGAUCGCGAGCAGGACGGUGGACGAGGUCUGGAACGAGAUAGCUGCCGGCCGGAAGGGCGAUGGCGGGAAUGGAUCGAGCGGGGAGAUGACCCUGGAGGAUUUCCUCGCGAGGGCUGGGACGGUUAGGGAGGGGGAAGUUAGGGUUCCUUCGGGCUCCGGGCAAGGGGGUUUCGGGUUGGAUUCAGUAUCGGGUGGUGGUUUCGGCCAGCAGCAGCUGCUGCCGCUCGAGAAUCCGGUUUUAGGGAUUGGGAAUGGAGUGGAAGGCGGCGGUGGAGGACGAAGGAGGGUAAGGAAGAGGCCCAUGUUGGAUCCCGUGGACAGGGCGGCGCUCCAGAGGCAGAAGAGGAUGAUCAAGAACAGGGAGUCGGCUGCUAGAUCGAGGGAGAGGAAACAGGCUUACACCGUAGAACUUGAAUCUUUAGUGACACAGCUGGAGGAGGAAAAUGCUCAGCUACUGAAAUAUCAGGAGGAGCAGCACAAAGAGAGGCUUCAGCAGUCCAAGUGCUGUAAAUCCUCAAAAGGUUAAAGAGUUCAAUCCCAUGGGGGACAGCACAAUCCUUACGGUCGUCUAGCACUUCUUCUAUCUCUUGGAAAAUGUAAUCCCAGUUACUGAGAAGAAAAAACCCAAGCUAUCUCUGAGAAGAACUUGCUCCAUGCUCUGGUAGGAAGAGUACCAAGGGAAUCAUCAUGUCCUGAGUGGUGGUUUUUUAUUCCAUUCAUAGAAACUACAGAAAAAAUUUAGCAAACCUUGACCGUUGGAAGUCAGUCAUGUGUAAAAAUGUAGGAAUGCAGCCGACAGAAGGUAGCAAAGGUAACAUUCUAGAUGGAUGAGGGACAGUGGUUUAUGGACAUGCAUCCUAUCGUUUGUUUUAAUUUUCUUCUGUAACAAAGGUUUGUAGAGACUUGAAUAAGCAGGCUGCUUAGAGAUGACCUUUAUAUGUAUUUCUCAGUUCUUAAAAUAUAAAAUGUCACAGAAAAUAAUUGAUAAUUUUAACAUUCACAUCUGUGGGUAAAA